AUGCGAGGUUCUAAGAAGUUCUCUGCUGGCUGGACGGAGGUGGCCUGGAGGCCAAGCAGGUGUGGCAGUUCUGCAGCAGACUCGUUUGCCACAAAAGCGGAAGAUGACUCCUUUCUCCAGUGGGUCCUGCUCGUCAUCCCUGUGACUGCCUUUGGCUUGGGGACAUGGCAGGUCCAGCGUCGGAAGUGGAAGCCGAACCUGAUUGCAGAGUUAGAGUCCAGAGUUCUGGCUGAGCCUGUUCCUCUGCCUGCAGACCCAAUGGAACUGAAAAAUCUGGAGUAUAGGCCAGCGAAAGUCAGGGGGUGCUUUGAUCUCUCCAAGGAGCUGUAUAUGAUGCCCCGGACUAUGGUGGACCCUGCCUGGGAGGCCGGCCGCAUCUCCUCCUCAGCUGAGACUGGAACCUAUGUGGCUACUCCCUUCCAGUGCACCCACCUAGGAUUGAGGGGGAAGUGGACCUCCUUGGAAUGGUGAGGCUGACGGAAACUGGAAAGUCUUUUGUCCCCGAGAACAAUCCAGAAAGGAACCACUGGCAUUACUGGGACCUGGAGGCUAUGGCCAGAAUCACUGGCGCAGAGCCCAUCUUCAUUGAUGUUGACUUCAAAAGCACAGUCCCUGGAGGACCCAUAGGAAGGCAAGCCAGAGUCACUCUGAGGAAGGAGCAUUUGCAGUACAUCAACCCGUUGAGUAUGGACUCUGCAGCUACAUCAUACCUGUGGUUUAAUAAAUUCAUAUGUGGAACACCUGGUGUGUGAGACCAGCUGCUAAAGCCCUAUCCCUGAAUAAUGACAUAUUUGAAAAGACUACCUUUAUGCUGGAUCAUGUACUAUUGGGAUAAAUAAAAGUUCUGGGCCUUCUA